rnacentral:rRNA from 1 species
GGACUACUGGGGUAUCUAAUCCUGUUUGCUACCCACGCUUUCGCUCCUCAGCGUCAGUUUCGGCCCAGAGUGGCGCCUUCGCCACCGGUGUUCCUUCUAAUAUCUGCGCAUUUCACCGCUACACUAGAAAUUCCCCACUCCCCUACCGAACUCAAGUCACAGCAGUAUCGGGUGGCAUCUCCGGGUUAAGCCCAGAGUUUUCACACCCGACUAACUGAACCGCCUACGAGCUCUUUACGCCCAAUAAAUCCGGACAACGCUUGGUGCCUACGUGUUACCGCGGCUGCUGGCC